AUAACUUUGUGUGAGUCUGAUGAUGUAUCUAUUAAGGAGUUGAUAAAGAGACUUAAAGAAGGCACACCGAGCAAUAGUGGGGGACAAGAGGGAUGUUGUUGUAAAGGUGAGAGAAAUAAUCAGGAGACAACUGAGAUCUUCUUAGCUUGCUUUCAAUUAGUUUCUGAAUGUGCUACAUGUUUAGGUCGAAAGUCCUGGUGUUGAGAAUUUGAUGAUGAUAGAUAGAUAUAAUAUACUUGCAAAUAUUUGCAUUAUACAUGCAGAAAACGAGAAGCAGGUAUUCAUCAUUUCUAUCUGGUAAGAAUUUACAGUCCCCAAGUCACUAUAAGUCCUUGUUUUUCAUUUUCUGGAUUGGGUAUGAAUUCAAUGGAGGCCAUUGCAAUGGAAAAGCUCCGACGUUUUCUUUAUGAAAACAAUAGAUAGAGUCAUGUUCUGUUCCCAGGGUGCUACGAAAUUUGGUGACCAGCUUGCUUUCAGAAACUCGACGAUGCAGAAAAAGAGAAACAUGUAUAUUAUCAUUUAUAUCUGAUAAGAGUUUUACAUUUCACACCAUUGAAAGUAUAAAAUCAACGUAUAAAGUGAAUAAGGUUUGGACUGGUGAUCCUUUCUCUCAAAGACUCCCUUGGGAAAGUAUUUCUAAUUACCAAAUCAACUCCAUGGAUUCAUAAAACAACAACCUAAGAAGGGAAUUUUUGGCUGAUUGUGAAGUUCUUUAAGGAAUUUAAAAGAAGAUAACUUGACUGGGUUUGUCCCAAGAUCUCUUAGGAAAAGAACAAUGGCUAGUGGACUUGCACUGAGAGGUACAUUUUUUUGUCAAAACCCCGGAACCAUAGUCAUCUUCUUAAGACAAUCUGUGUCUCUACCAUUUUCUGAUGCUUGUUAAAUUCCUCUCUGUUUCCAAUGUGGAUGAACAAAGCAUUUGUCACCCACGUUCAGAUUCGUCGUGCCAAUAGUUGUAGCCACAAUAGUGAUCAUUCUCAUUGUCGUUGUGGUUGUGAUAUGCAUCAUGGAGCUUAUUCAGGACCACUUCUGCCUUCGGGAAAGAGAAGGUUCACAUGUAGCAUUAAAAACAACUUCAAAAGUGAUCGGUAAAGGAGGGUUUGGCAGAGCUUCUUUUGACAGUGCAUCUACGGAACUUAGCUUAGUUUAUUGGAUACUGCGAUGAUGGUAGCAGUCUGGCUCUCAUCGACGAGUACAUGGCCAAUGGCAACUUACAACACUCAUUUUUUAGUACUUACUGUUAAGGUUAAAACUUAAAGGUAUGAAUGAGAAGCUAGUAAGCAACUUCGUCUGGGAAUAUUGGUUUAGAGCAGCAAUAAAUAUAAAUUUGGAGAUGACAUGUAGCCAAGAACAAGGGGCUCUUGGAUGAUGUAACUGAGUUACGGUAACUGUCUUUUACCUCUCAUAAGAAAAAACACAAACACAUCAACAUUAAAUUUUAAAACACAAACCCACGAAAACAUAAAACACACACAACAAAAAAUCCAUUUGCACACAAAAAUGCAAAAACAAACUUCACAACUUCACGUUCACGAAUGACGAUCACAUAAAAUCCACAACUUCCCGAUCACAUAAACUCCACAACUUCAUGUUCACGAAUCACGAUCGCAUAAACUCCACAACUUCACGUUCACGAGUCACGAUCGCAUAAACUCCACAACUUCACGAUCACGUAAACUCCACAACUUCACGAUCACAUAGAGUUUGCUUCCUCUGCAACACAAUGUUGAUUUUGAUUUUUUCACAAUGACUUGUAUAAUUUUAACUCAAUUCUUGUUUUAAUAUUCUUUUCGCAAUGUAUUUUGAGCGUCAGUGAACUUGUAAAGUUGCUUGUUAUCAGUGAUGUCAUUUUUAAGCUUUAUUUUUUUUUUGCUAUAGAAUUUGUAAUUCGGAUAUCCUUGUUCUUGUUGUAAUCCUUGUUUUAAAUAUUCUCUUUGCAAUGUAAUUUUUGAGCGUCAGUUUGUAAACUUGUAAAGUUUCUUGUUAUCAGUUAUUACAUUGUUUUUUUUUUUU